rnacentral:rRNA from 1 species
UUUCCAGAAAAAGAGGGAAGACGUAGGGUGCAAGCGUUAAUCGGAAUUACUGGGCGUAAAGCGUGCGCAGGCGGUGAUGUAAGACAGUUGUGAAAUCCCCGGGCUCAACCUGGGAACUGCAUCUGUGACUGCAUCGCUGGAGUGCGGCAGAGGGGGAUGGAAUUCCGCGUGUAGCAGUGAAAUGCGUAGAUAUGCGGAGGAACACCGAUGGCGAAGGCAAUCCCCUGGGCCUGCACUGACGCUCAUGCACGAAAGCGUGGGGAGCAAACAGGAUUAGAUACCCUGGUAGUCCACGCCCUAAACGAUGUCAACUGGUUGUUGGGUUUUUAUUAACUCAGUAACGAAGCUAACGCGUGAAGUUGACCGCCUGGGGAGUACGGCCGCAAGGUUGAAACUUAAAUGAAUUGACGG